AGGGAACGCCGGCGGUGGGCCUAACACAUGCGAGUCGAACGGCAGCACAGUAAGAACUUGCUCGUACGGAUGGCGAUGGGCGGACGGGGGAGGAAUACAUCGAAAUCUGCUUUGUCAUGGAGAGUAACGGAGGGAAACGUGCUCGAAGACCCCAUACGACCUACGAGUAAAAGCAGGUGAUCUUCUAGCCUCGCGCGAUUGGAUGAGCCGAUGUCGGAUUAGCUAGAUGGCGGGAUAAAGGCCCACCAAGGCUACGAUCCAUAGCUGGUCUGGGAGGAUGACCAGCCACAGUAGACCUGAGAUACGGUCCCGGCUCACACACGAGGCAACAGUGAGGAAUAUUCGACGAAGGGCGAAAGCCUGAUCCAGCACUACCGCGUGGGUGACGAAGGCCUUCGCGUUGUACAGCUGGUUUGCUGGGAAAGAACAGAAGCCGGUUAAAACCCCGCUGUUCUGACGGUACCCAAAGAAUAAGCAACGGCUAACUUCGUG
rnacentral:rRNA from 1 species